GCAGCAUAAAUGGUGCGCUGCCACUUUAAGGCCAAUUUCAGCUGCUGCAUAUAAGCAAGCCUUCACCUGUCAUGAGGCUGCUUGCGUCGUGACGUCAACCGAAUCUGCUUCCUUUGUUUGCACUGUUCUGGCCUCCUUUGCUGCACCUCCAAUAUUUGGACCGAUCUGUCCGUUUAUUCAUUUGCUGACAGGAAGUUGCACUGCAUCUAGGUGGAAUUGGGAAUCUGAUUAUUUGGCAGUGCAGUCAUUUAUCAGGUCACAGCCUUCUGACUCAUCAGCAUUGCACCUGGAGUGACACUCGCUGCUGUUUUGCCUACUUAUAAAUUGUUUUAAAAUACUAAUCUGCACUUUCCUUGGAGAUAAAGUGCAACAUUGUAGGGCUAUUGUAUCUCUGUUUUACUUGUAUUGUUUCGGGGUU